UACGUAGGGUGCAAGCGUUGUCCGGAAUUAUUGGGCGUAAAGAGCUCGUAGGUGGUCUGUUGCGUCGGCUGUGAAAACCCGAGGCUCAACCUCGGGCCUGCAGCCGAUACGGGCAGACUAGAGUUCGGCGGGGGAGACUGGAAUUCCUGGUGUAGCGGUGAAAUGCGCAGAUAUCAGGAGGAACACCGGUGGCGAAGGCGGGUCUCUGGGCCGAUACUGACGCUGAGGAGCGAAAGCGUGGGGAGCGAACAGG
rnacentral:rRNA from 1 species